rnacentral:lncRNA from 1 species
UGUAUAUCACGUAAAUUAACUUUUGAAAAAAUAAAAAUGUUUUACUUUAAUCGUACAUUCGAACUUUAAUUUCUUCACUUAAAGAUAUGUUAAGAUUCCAAUGUCGAACGGAUAAAAAUAGUAGAGUAGCGUGUUGUCGCUGUGAAGCCAAUUAAAGAAGAGGGUGCCAUUUGCAUGGAAAUCGUCCAAAUGGCCUGAAUUUCUCUAACUCCCCUCUUCCAACCAAAUGUUGCAGGUAUCGUGCUAAGACGUGAGGUCACGAUCAGCCAUCCAGACUGACAUUGACGCCACGCUUGUCACGUGACCAGCCAAGUGGCGCCUAUGGUCGAUCCAAGCCAAGAAGUGUGGCUUUGCUUAUCCCAUUCAUACCAACCCUCCCAUUCACAGUUGGCGUCUGGCCAAGCUGGCGCGACUGUUCGACGCUUUGCUUACGAAUACCAUUCCUGGGAUACUCAAUUAUUUUUCCUUGCGGGCCGCAUUGCAAAAUUUACACGUAAUUCGGUGGAUCGCGCCGCUUCACUUUCCCCCAUGUAAAAAUUCUAUUACAGAAUAACAUUGGAGUCAAAUUCUGAAAUUUAAGAACUGAAAAAUAAUACAAGAAACCAAAAUAUGUUGGAAUAUGAUAUGAAUAGGAUUUUUAUUGCCAAAAAAAAAAAAAUGCGUUUCUGUUUAAUAAUUUCCAAUCAGGGAAGUGGACAAAAUAAAUAUAUCUAAAACCACUAAGUGCCAAAUAAAAAACAGACAAUAUUUUGAAUCGAUUGC